UACGGGGGGGGCAAGCGUUGUUCGGAAUUACCGUGCGUAAAGGGCUCGUAGGCGGCCAACUAAGUCAGACGUGAAAUCCCCCGGCUUAACCAGGGAACUGCGUCUGAUACUGGAUGGCUUGAGAUUGGGAGAGGGAUGCGGAAUUCCAGGUGUAGCGGUGAAAUGCGUAGAUAUCUGGAGGAACACCGGUGGCGAAGGCGGCAUCCUGGACCAUUACUGACACUGAAAAGCGAAAGCCAGGGGAGCAAACGGG
rnacentral:rRNA from 1 species